rnacentral:tRNA from 2 species
GGAGAGGUCGCAUAGUCUGGCUUAGUGCGCUCGCUUGGAAAGCGAGUAUGGCGAGAGCCAUCGUGGGUUCGAAUCCCACCCUCUCCG